UGUCAUCAUUCUAAAGAAGCAGUAUAUACGUGGCUGACCCAAGUUCACUUAUUCAUAAUUGGCAUUCUUUCUGGAGCAAACAACACGAUAUAUUUAUUGGAUUUAACUUGUACUCUUCUAACAUAUUUACUGAAUCACCUCUAGAAUAGCAUCAGUUGCAUGUAAGCAUGCCACCCAUCGCAUUUUUGCGAGGGUGGCUGCUUAUUUUGCUGCUGGUGUCGUUCCUUUUCCUUCAUUUUGGGGCAUUUUCCAACUUUGGUAAGUGAAUUUGUCACUGUCUCCGGCCAGGUUAGCUUAAGCAGGUAGUGAAAAUCUCGCAAGUCAGUCAAACCAGGAUUUUACAAUUCACUUGCAGUAUAAACACAAUUGAUGUUUGAAAGCUUGAAGAAACAAGGAAAUAUGUUGACUGAACAAGGACGAGUUGAUAAAAUAAACAACUUAAUAAACAAAUUAUUAAUAGAAGAUUUUAUCAUGAAUAUAACUGCUUUGUUUGAAACCAAAGAUUUAGCUAACUGUAUUGAAGAUAUUCUGGUCAUCCUCCCAAAAGACUGUGUUCAGUUGUGAUUUCAGUUGUAUUUUAUCUGUAAUUAACGUGAUUCUUUUCUUUUUCCCAGCCCCAAAUUCCCAGAUCAUUCAAGAAUUUUCCAUACAAGACGUUCUUGAGCUUCCCGACACGCUCAUUGACUAUUGGCCCAAGAGAUGGAGACCAGGUCCAAGUACGGAAGACAGGUCUAUACACCUGCUGAACAUCGCUAGUCUGUUCAUAAUCUGGAGGACAGUGUUCAGUAUAAAACGCAGGAUAUAUGAAUGGACAAGACAUCAUGUUCAACAAAUGAACACAGCGACAAUCGCAUUACAAAAUGAAAUAAAAGACCUGAAGAGAAACAUAAAAGAUCUCAAACAGCAGUGUAAGGAGGACAAAAAAAGCCUGGCCUCCACCAAGCUGGAAAACAAGGAGCUUAAGGAAACUGGCUGAGCAGGAACAACUUCACCGUGCGCGAGAGGCUCAGUUACUGUCAGAGGUCAAGGCCUGUGAAAUGAGCCUUACGGCAAUGACCACCAAACGGCAGGCAAAUGAGGAUUCCUACAAGACCCAGAUAAAAGAACUCAAAGAACAUUUUUCAGAUUUGGAAAUUUCUUCAAAAAAUGAAACUGG